rnacentral:rRNA from 1 species
UACGUAGGGGGCAAGCGUUGUCCGGAAUCAUUGGGCGUAAAGAGCGCGUAGGCGGCCCGGUAAGUCCGCUGUAAAAGUCCAGGGCUCAACCCUGGAAAGCCGGUGGAUACUGUCGGGCUAGAGUCCGGAAGAGGAGUGUGGAAUUCCCGGUGUAGCGGUGAAAUGCGCAGAUAUCGGGAAGAACACCCGUGGCGAAGGCGGCACUCUGGGACGGUACUGACGCUGAGACGCGAAAGCGUGGGGAGCGAACAGG